rnacentral:tRNA from 1 species
GGGGUUGUAGCUCAUUGUUGAGCACUUGCCUCGAAUGCAUGAGGUACUGGGUUCAAUUCUCAACACCA